GAUAAACAGAUUCUCCUCCCCCUCCCCCUCUAGUGGUAUUAUUUCAGGUGCUAAUGUUAUCAAGGCCAGUAAACCAAUUGGUGGUAUGUGGAUAGCUCUCUCCUUCCUCUGGCUAUUAUUAGUACCCUGGGCAGCCAUCAUGAUAUUCCUCAUUCAUCAUUAUUAUUGUCUGUCUGGCGGUUCAUUAGAUAAAGCAGCUGCUGAGGCUGCCAAAGGUGCUGCUGGUAACAAAUAUGUGAGAGACGCAACCAAAGGAGCAGUUAGAGCCGGAGUGAGUGCCUCAGUAGCAGCUGCCACUUCCAGUGACUGAAUGGAA